AUUGAACGCUGGCGGCAGGCCUAACACAUGCAAGUCGAACGAGUGGCGGACGGGUGAGUACUGUCUGGGAAACUGCCCGAUAGAGGGGGGUAACUACUGGAAACGGUAGCUAAUACCGCAUACUAUCGGCUGAGCCCAGAUGGGAUUAGCUAGUAGGUGGGGUAACGGCUCACCUAGGCGACGAUCCCUAGCUGGUCUGAGAGGAUGACCAGCCACACUGUAACUGAGACACGGUCCAGACUCCUACGGGAGGCAGCAGUGGUGAAUAUUGAACAAUGGGCGCAAGCCUGAUGCAGCCAUGCCGCGUGUAUGAAGAAGGCCUUCGGGUUGUAAAGUACUUUCAGCGGGGAGGCGUUACUCGCAGAAGAAGCACCGGCUAACUCCGUGCCAGCAGCCGCGGUAAUUC
rnacentral:rRNA from 1 species